GUGAGGAAUAUUGGUCAAUGGACGCAAGUCUGAACCAGCCAUGCCGCGUGCAGGAUGACGGCUCUAUGAGUUGUAAACUGCUUUUGUACGAGGGUAAACCCGGAUACGUGUAUCCGGCUGAAAGUAUCGUACGAAUAAGGAUCGGCUAACUCCGUGCCAGCAGCCGCGGUAAUACGGAGGAUUCAAGCGUUAUCCGGAUUUAUUGGGUUUAAAGGGUGCGUAGGCGGUUUGAUAAGUUAGAGGUGAAAUACCGGUGCUUAACACCGGAACUGCCUCUAAUACUGUUGAGCUAGAGAGUAGUUGCGGUAGGCGGAAUGUAUGGUGUAGCGGUGAAAUGCUUAGAGAUCAUACAGAACACCGAUUGCGAAGGCAGCUUACCAAACUAUAUCUGACGUUGAGGCACGAAAGCGUGGGGAGCAAACAGGAUUAGAUACCCUAGUAGUCC
rnacentral:rRNA from 1 species